UAGGUCAAUGAACUUGUGUAGUGAAAGGAAUGCUUCAGUCCAGUAGGUCAAAGACUUUAUGUAUAAUGGGAUAUGUAGCUGAUUGACAAAAAAUACUUAGCUACCCAACAUGAGCAGAGUUGUGUUCCUUGAGCACCUUCUCCAAGUUUCCCCUCCCCUCACUGGUCUACAAAAGAGAUUGGACUAUAAGUAUUUGAGCAAGCUAUAAGUAUGAAAGCCAAACAAUAGCAUUUUUCAAAUGUAUUAUUAUUAGCACUAAAUCUCAAUUUUUACCAAACCUAUAAAAAAAAAACUCGAGUAAAGGCUAAAACUAAAAAAAAAA
rnacentral:sRNA from 1 species